CAAAAUAUAUUGAAAUGUUAAAACACUUGGACAAAAGACCAUUAAUAAAAGUCUAGAACUCAGAUUGGAAGAAGCAAAGCACUAGACAUUCUCUGGAGACUUUCAGACUUUGAGAAAUUGACUUUGAAAAAAUAAUAAAUGGAUAAUAAUUAUUAACUCUUGCUGGCUAGUGGUCCAGGAAAUCAGUUCUGAACAGCCAUACUUAAGUCUCUGGGUUUGAGCAGGAUCUAUCUACUCUGUGACCUGAAAUUAGUCAUAUCUUUACAAACGAGAAUUGAGAUUUUUCUAAUGAGGUCUUGGUGAAGAUAAACAAUUAUAGAAGUGAUCAUCAGAGAAUUCUUUAAAUGUUUAUAAAUCUUAAACCUUUCGUUUACAACCUAUAUUUCCAACUGUUCAUGGGUCAUCUCACCAGACAUUAGAAGUCACCUCAAAUUCAGUGUGUUCAAAAUGGAACUCAAAGGUGUGUCUAUGACCUCCGCAACUUGCUUUUUUUUUGGCUCCCCUGUGCUAGUUAAUGAUCCACUGUAAACAUAAUAACUAACACUUAUCGAGGGCAUACUAUGUACCAUUCCCUGGGCUGUUUUACAUGUACUUAUUUAAAGCUCUUAAGAAACAUUGAAACUCAUCUACCUUCUGAAGUAGAUACGAUCUACUUCAGAUUAAGAAACUAAGUCACAAAAAGACUAAGAACUCAUCUAAUAGUCAAACUCUUCUUUCUUCCUGUCCCUCCAAUUCCCCUCUACAUUGAAUUCGUUAUUGGGUCCUAUCAACUCCAACUCCUCCAUGUGGCCCCUCUCAACAAUGUCCCUUCAACCUGCCGAAUUCUCUAGAACACGAACCCUCUGCCUGUCCACUCUCUUCAUCGUGUGUUACCUAGGCUGCUAUCACAUAAAGAGCAACCUUUCUAAUUCAUAGAUCUUACUACUUCGUGUCCCUCCUAGAAAGUUCUCCCUGUGGGAUGAGACUCCCCAGCAAGCUGACUGAUCAGAUCCUCCUCUCUUUCUGCUCCCUAGGCUUUAGCCACACAGAAUUAUCAUGAAUCCAUGAAUCUACCAAAUCAUUUCUACCUCCCGUACUUUUGCCCGUGUCAUGUCCUCUGCCUGGAAGGCUCUUCUCUCCCUUUUGGCCCUGGCUCUUUCUUACUUCAGGGUCAGGCCAAGCACCACCUCUUCCUUCCAAAUCCUUCCACCCAAAGCUACCUACAUAGCUCUCUGUACUGCUACCGCAUGUGGUCCUAAAUGCGCUUAUCACACCAUAUAGUAACUAUACAUAUUACACAGGCACUCUACCACUGAGCUACAUCCCCAGCCCUUUCCAUUUUCAAUUUUGAGAUAGAAUCUGGCUAAGUUACCCAGGUUGGCCUUGAACUUGUGAUCCUCCUGCCUCAGCUUCUUGAGUGGCUGGGAUUAUAGGCGUGCACCACCACACACCUAGGCUAGCUGUGAUGUUUUCUGAACUGUCCAUCAUGUGGUCAUAUGUUUUAGGUCAGGGAACUUUCUUCUCCUGUUUUGAGUCCCCAGAACUUAAUGGAUCCCAGAUCCUUCUCAAAAUGUUGGUUGUAUCAGUUCAUUAAUAUGAACAUGAAGAUCAUGCUCACUGGUGACAAAUGCCGCUCAACCUUUCAGGAGCUGGGUGUCAUGCUUGUAAAUGGGAUUUCUAAUCCUCUCCAUGUAUCAACAAUUUAUUUCCCAAAUUUGUAAGUUUCCAUUAAUAAAGUAUUGUCCACA
rnacentral:lncRNA from 1 species